rnacentral:antisense_RNA from 1 species
AAUUCAGCUCCCAGCCUUCCAGGAGCUGCAAUUUUACAACCUCACUACAAGCGUCCCCCAGCAAAGCUGCACCGCCAUUUCCUGUGCUUGGGAACUGGAGGCAAGGGGAGUUCAGCCUACACCCAGGAACGAACAAGGACAGCGUGGAGUUUAGAAGCAAGUGGACUUGGUUCAUCUGUUUCACUGGCUCAUAAUUUUGCAAGGGCGGUUUCAUCUGUACCCUGACAAUACCUUCUAGUUUUUUUACCCACUGGUGUUGAGACUUAAUUGAAGACCUCAGACGGACAGAAUACCAUGGAACCUGAGACCUUGAUUUGCGGGGACAGGUUUAAAGUAUAUUCUGGGGUUGGUGCCCCCACCCCAGGGGCCGGCUCAGAGGGCUCACUUUCCAGCCUAAUUUCAGGGGAACCAGAGGCUGCCGACCUGGAUCUCACCUUGACGGAGGUCUUGUCACCUUCCUCCUCGGCUGGAGAGGCAGACUGUGGAUGCUCUCCUGCUGGCUACCCAAAAACAAACAAAUAGACAAACAAAUAUGAAUGAGGAAAACCUGAAGAGGCCCCAUGUGCCGGAGGUGGGACAGCUUGAGAUUUGGUGAGGAUAAUUGCAGUGGCUCAAAACCCAUAAAGAAGUUUCAGUCCAUGAGU